GAUGAAGAACGCAGCGAAAUGCGAUAAGUAAUGUGAAUUGCAGAAUUCAGUGAAUCAUCGAAUCUUUGAACGCAUCUUGCGCUCCUUGGUAUUCUGAGGAGCAUGCCUGUUUGAGUGUCAUUAAAUUCUCAACUACACUGACUUUGAAUUGGUGUGGCUUGGAUUUGGGGGGAAAAUUGUUGUGGGCUUUUUGUAUAGUCUGCUCCCCUGAAAUUGAUUAGCGGUACCUUUGUGGAACUGUCUACAGGUGUGAUAAUUAUCUACAUCUUAGACAUCUGCUGGAAUGCUGCUUUCUAAACCUUACUUGUAUUGACAAUCUUGACCUCAAAUCAGGUAGGACUACCCGCUGACCUUAAGCAUAUCAAUAAGCGGAGGA
rnacentral:misc_RNA from 1 species